rnacentral:rRNA from 1 species
GAUGAACGCUAGCGGCAGGCCUAAUACAUGCAAGUCGGACGGGAUUUGGGAGCUUGCUCCCAAUGAGAGUGGCGCACGGGUGCGUAACACGUAUGUAACCUACCUUGUUCAGGGGGAUAGCCUCUCGAAAGAGAGAUUAAGACCGCAUAACAUUGCAAUGUGGCAUCACAAAGCAAUCAAAUAUUUAUAGGAACAAGAUGGGCAUGCGGGACAUAGCUAGUUGGUGAGGUAACGGCUCACCAAGGCUACGAUGUUUAGGGGAUCUGAGAGGAUGACCCCCCA